rnacentral:lncRNA from 1 species
UAAAACAUUUCUAGGUUGGCUUUUUCCUUGUGAAUUACCAGCCACACAUUUAUUAUUUCCUCUACUUUCUAGGUUUUAGGCUCAGGAAAGAAUGGUCCUGUUGCAUGUCCAUGUAUUUAUUAUACAGCUUCCCUUUUAUUUAGAGAGACUCUUUUGAACAGUAGUUACCAGGUUGUUUUUUUCUUUUUUUUUUUUUCUUCGAGACAGGGUUUCUCUGUGUAGCCCUGACUGUCCUGGAACUCACUUUGUAGACCAGGCUGUCCUCGAACUCAGGAAUCCAUCUGCCUCUUCCUUCCAAGUGCUGGGAUUAAAGACGUGUGCCACCACGCCCUGCUCAGUAGUUACCAGGUUAAGGGCAACUUUUUUUUUUUAAUGCUCUCUCUCUCUCUUUUUUUUUAAGAUUUAUUUUUUUAUUUAUAUGAGUAUACUGUAGCUGUCUUCAGACAUACACAGAAGAGUGCAUCGGAUCCCAUUACAGAUGGUUGUGAGCCACCAUGUACUUGGUGGGAAUCGAACUCAGGACCUCUGUGAGAGCGGUCAGCGCUCUUAACCGCUGAGCCAUCUCUCCAGCCUGGCAACUUUUUAAAAAAAAUCAUAUUUUAUUUAUUUUUAAAAAAUACAUGGUUGUUAAUUUUUGAGAUUGUAUUUUAAGUACAAUAGUUCUCUAUCCAAAUCCUCUCAAAUACCCGUUCCUGCUCUCCUUCAUAUUUUUGGCCUUUUUUGUUUUAAAUCAAUCGUUAUUAUAGGCACAUAUGUACUUGUAUAUACAUAUAUAUUCUUUAAAAUGACCUGUCAAAUCUGUGUGGUGUUUCCUGUCUGCUUGUGUGUAUGUGUGUGUGUAUGUGUGUGUGUAUGUGUGUAUGUGUGUAUGUAUGUGUUUAUGUAUGUAUGUAUGUAUGUAUGUAUGUUUUUAAGGCUGACCAUUUGGCAGAAGAUAGCCAACUAGUGUGUUCUUCCCUUGGGAGGACCACCUCUCUCCUCCCAGUUCUUCUCAGUGGUAAGGGCAGCUCUUAAGUCUUCACAGACGUCCACAGCCUCUGCCUCUGUCUCCUGAGUGCUGGGAACUAAAGGUGUGCGUCACUACGUCCAGCGCCACCACGUCCAGCUUGCUUUUCAUUUUGAUGCAGGAGCUGACAAAGUUGCCCCCACCGGCUUGAGUUUGGGAUGCCCUGCCUCAGUCUCUUGUGACGCUGGGAUUAUGGGGCCUGUGCCACCAGGCUUGGCUUAUCCUGACUAGGAAAGCCUGUUUGUUGGGAAUAGGAUAAAGGGGAAAUAUUUCCAUAGUUUAGACAUAGCGCAAAUUGGGAUGUGGUUCCCCAUGCGGUGACUUCACUUUCUCUCAAGACGGAACAGCUGAGUGGUGACAGUCUCACUCCUGCACUAAAAUAGCAUGGUUAGACGCUGGGCUCUCCUGGGUGGAGACCUUUUAGGAGACUAAAAUAGCAGCUGCUCUGAUCCUCAGGGAGCUGAUGAGUGAGUGACUGUGAUGGGUAGGUGACUUGGAAAGGUUUGCAUUUCUCUUGAAUUAAUCUUUAAAAUAAUAAUGUUUUUAAAGUGGUUGUUAUAAAAAGUAACUAAAAAGACAUGAGUAUUUCAGAAACAUAGGCUUGGGUGUGCUAAUGAAAAUUCUAAAUUUGCUAAUAAGCAAAUGUUUGCUGAGUAUUGAAGUCAGGGACUGCUGUGUGUUAGUUUAGAAAAUAAAGUUUUUAAAUAGGGAAUACUUGGUGAAUACAGUUUCAGAAGAUACAGUGUUCACUUGGUGCAGCCUCUGCAGUCCCCUUUGGCAUUUUCAUGUAUCUACUUUUUGUCUGUCUGUCUGUCUGUUUGUAGACAGAGCCCUUCUUGCAGCCCUGGAUGGCCUUAGAACUCUCUCUAAUUGCCAGGCUGGCCUGGAACUCAGAGAUCUGUUUGCUUCUGCCUUCCGUGUGCUGGGCUAAAAGGUAUCUGUCAUGCCUAGCAGGUGCCAACUUUUUAAAAAUUAACUUUAUUUAUUUGUUUCUCUGUGUGCACAUGUGUGUGAAACUGCUCCAGAGAGUGGAGGGAAGUCAGGACAACUUUUGGAAGUUGGUUCUAUUCAUAGGUUUCAGGGAUCAAAAUCAGGUUGUUGGGCUCUCUCAUUUUUUUUUUUUUUAAUUUAAAAACAAUUUUAAGCUGGGUGAAGGUGGCAGAUGCCUGUGAUCCCAGCACUAGAGAAGGCAGAGCAGGUAGAUCUCCGAGAAUUUGAGUUCAGCCUGGUCUACAGAGCCACUUCCAGGACAGUCAAGGAUACACAGAGAAAAAAACCUUGUCUCAAAACC